rnacentral:lncRNA from 1 species
CCACUUUCAUAAACCCUGAAGGUACAUUGGUUGAAGCUUUUUUAUUAUAAGCUUCCCUGUACAAGUAAAUUUGCUAUUUUUGACAUUAUGUACGCACGGCUGAAUGCUGAUGAAUCAAAUGGUGGUGACUCGUGAGUGAUCCUGACAUUUUUUGGCUCAUCUUCAUGAGGUUCGUUUUAUACAAUUUUAGCCCUUCAGUUUCAAGUGACAAAGAUGUAGGAUUAAAUGUACUUAAGAUUGUUGUAAUUGAAGCUCUCAAGCAUUAGUUUAGUUUUGAGUUAUUUCUGAAUAUAUUUUCUAGAGAGUUGUUUUAUCUGUUGAUUCAAUUCUGAUGAGGAUAUCUUUUAUUGUAUAGUCACAGGCUGCUGUUGUGUGUGUUGCUUAUCUUCUAUGAUCGAAUUUGAUUGUCAAUUAAUUUUCUAUACAAUUAAUAGAUAAAAUUGGUGUUUAUAUCUCUUUAAAGAUUUCUUUCUUCCCUAAAUAUUUCUUGUGGAAUAUCAGUAAUAGUGCUUUGUGGAAUUUGCAAGAAACUAAUGAAGCACCUCAAAUGAUGCUAAAUUAUAUAUAUAUGACACUGAUAUUCUGCUUCCAAUUAUCUAUAUCCAAGUUCCAUUUGUUCCCUUUGAUUUUCCUUUCAGUAUCUCCACCAUUUGCUCUUUGUUUGUUAUAAGGUUCUUCUGUGUUAUUUUUGGUUUUCUUCUAUUUACGUUUUACAUAAUGUGAGUUUUGAGCAAAAAGCUAUAUCAUAAUGACUUGUGUUUAUUUAAUUAUUUGUUGUGGUCAUACUGAAAGUCAAUCACUUCAUCUGUCUCUUUUUGUGAUCUGAAGGCCUGAAAAUCACACUAAAGACCGAUGACAUUAAAAGAGAAUUCAUGAAAUUAAAAAUUUAACAUUAAAGGAUAAAAAUUUAGAUGUGCUGUCAUUUAAUUUUGUUUUUAGAAUCUGUUGUAUAAUUCCCUUUCUUAAAUUACCUGAAUUGUUCUGCAAGUGAAGAUUAUUUUUUUUGGUAACAACUGUAAAAUAUUACCAUAACCACCCAAGAACGGAUACAAAUAAAGAGCACCUAAUUCUGAUAAUAGAGAACAGGCCUCCUACCAAACAUAAAACCAAUUACAUAACAAAUGUUGAAUAAAGUGUCUACAAUUUUUUUGCUUUCUUUGAACUACUAAGUGUAAUCUUUCAAUAAUUUCCUUAUUUAUCUGUGUUACUGCCUCCUUCGUAUGUACACGUUUGUCUGUAAACCUCCUCCAAUUCCUGGCACGCCAAGUGUGGUAUAUGAUAUCUCCACAGAUAGCUGCCAUGAUCUCCUUUUUAAUUGCUUCCGGUGAUUACCUUUUAUGUUUUCCAGGACCUUCAUGAUACUAAUAAUCUGCACUGGUAUUUCAGUCCAAUGGUGCAUAACUUGCCACACAGCUAAUGUCCAUUUGCAUUUCUCGAAUAGGUGAACAUUAGUCUCCAUUACUUUCUCAUCACAUAAACAACAUUCAGUGUCAUCAACCUGAAUAUUCAAUCUCAGCUUUCUCUCCUGUGUAAGAUUUCUAUUUCACUAGAGUAUUAUAUUAUUAAAAGAAUUAAUUAUUGAACAUAAAUUUGCUUCAUAGUCAAAGCACACCAGUAAAAAAGAGUUGGUAUCAAUGAAAACAAAAUUAUGACAUGAGAGAUUAGUACACUUGACUUGAACACAAGUUUCAAAAUAAACCAUGAAGAGAAAACAAAUAAAUAAUUAGCCAUCUUUAUAAUUCUAUACACAAAAUGGAGAUGAAAGUGUAGGUCAGAAAGACCACAGAUUACAGAACUAUGAUCACCAGUCAUCUUUCCUUCUCCGUUGGAUGGCAUUUUAGUUCACUUUUCUCCAUUCUUUUUACACACCUUAUCUCAGAAUCUCCCAUCAAAUUUAACUCUGUGUGUGUGGCGUACCUAGAAUCUAACAACAUCUUUUGACUAAAUACCAUCCUAAAUUACCCCUACAUUUAUACAGUGUGCUAUUGGAAGUUACUCACUUUAGGAAACAUGAAGUUCUUAUCUUUAAUCUAUCACUUACUUGGUUGUUUAAGUUAUUUUUAUUUUAUUGCACGGAGAGUUACUUACAUUUUGAAAAAUGUUGUUCUAAGCUUUUAACAAUUAUUUAUUUGGCGUUCACACUUUGUGAGUGCUCUCUUCAAAACGUGGAAAAAAUAUAUCCUAAAUAGCUUCUACGACAAUCGCAGUAAUGCAUCAAACAAUGACACUGUAGUUUAUCUGAAUUACUCACCUAAUCAAUUAAGAUCUUGACACACUUUCUACAGAUCUUUUAAGAUCCUAGAUGAAACAUAAGUAUCUUUAAAGUUAUAGCUCGCUAAUUACUAUUUUUUGCACUCAGUUUUAGAAUUCUUUAGUUGACGAUUGGUGUUUACUUGAUUUUUGAAGGUAUUUCAAAACAUCUCCCUGUUAUGUGUUUCCGGGAUAGCAAAGGUUGGCUACUAAGCUAGGUAUUGUAUCUCCAACACAAUUGAAAUGAUAGAUCAAGUUAGCUCUGCAAUAUUUACUAAAACUGUAAGUUCUUGAAAUCUUUUGGAUAUCUUUCAUCUUAAAUAUCAGUAGAUUUUCUUAAAUAUUUGUUCAAGGUUCUUCAUUCCUCCAACUGGCCGUGGUUUAGUGUUUAUGUGAUUAUACUUGUUGUCAUUGUUACAGUUCCUUACAUAUAUGCUCCGCAUUAUUUUGUUAAAAGUGUAGAUAGGUAAUAUAAUUAUUCUACAUCACUAUAGUGUAAGAGUAAGUAUGCUAACCAAAAGGGCACUGUGUGUAAUUGCAUCAGGGGCGUAAUAAUAAAAAUUUCUAUUAAUUCUAUUGUAUAGAAACAUGAAGAGCUAGGACGACCAAUGGCAUAACCAUAAAUAUACUCAAUAUUGAAGGGUAAUAUGGUCAUUAUACAACACUAAUUUUUUAGCAAUUAACAUGCGCCUCUUCUAUUUUCCUUCUAGAACAUUCUCUCUCUUCCUUCCAUGUUGCAAUUAAGAGAUGACUCAAGAAAAAGAAUUGGUAAAUUGAUCGGAUCUUUCCUAAACCUCCUCUCUCUAGACCUAAUAUGUGAUCUAUCUAUUUCAUAGACUUCUCUUGUGAUGCUACUAAAGCAGGAAUGGGUGGUGUAAAUGGUUUAAUUAUCGGUAUAUAUAAUCGGUUUAUACACAUAGGUAGCUUUAUGAACUUUAAAAAGGAUAUCUAGAAGGAUUGUAACAUGUCAUAUUCUACAAUUCUGAAGAGUAAGCAUGAUGAAUCUUUCUGAUUGAUAAAAAUGGCCUCGAGAGGGAUUGUAACAUGUCAUAUUUUUACAAUUGUGAAGAAUAAGCAUAUGUUGGAAUAUGAAUUUCAUAAAUUGUUGUUUCUUUCUGAUGAAUGUAGUAUAAUUGGUGCAGGUGAUUGACGGUUUAGUUCCAUUAACAGAGAUGUUCAAUUGCGUUAGUAAAACUUGAAAGGGAAUGACAAAGGAGCAUGCAUCGUACAUUAUGCAAUUAGGCAAGUUUGAUGUUGUCCCUCAACACAUUCAAAUCAGCUUGCCAAAAAGGAAGAAGCAGCAGUUGUUUAGUCAGUCAGCUUUCAAAUUUGGAUCCACGAACUUAAAAAUAGGUAUUUUUACUCAAUGAAGGGACUGCUCUUUGACAUCAUCUUGUCUUUUGGUGUUGCAAUUUCAGUUUGAUCUUUUAUCUUAAUUUUAGCCAUUAUUUUAAGAUUCUCUUUACAUUUUCCAACAUGGUUGAAGCGGUUAUAUUUUGACUAGCUUUCACUGCCAUAAAUUUCAUAGAGGCAAGUCAACAUGCCGGUUUUAUACUGAUUUGUUGUGAAUUUCAACCUCUUACUUGUUCUCCUAUGCUUGGUGGUUAAUUUCUUUAAAUUUUUUUACUCAACGGUUAGUCUCCCGUGGUUUCCACUCCAAGUCCACCAAUCCAACGUAAACUUGCCAACAUCGUAUUUCAUGAAACUUGUGUGCACUUACCAAACUACCCUGCCCCUUCGCCCUCAACCAUUAGCUCCCACGCCUAAUAACAAGGACAUCAUAGUAAAAUCACUUUGUUACCGUAAUCGAACAGACCCCAUAGAAUAUAGUUGGACUGGUUAUUUUUUUCUUUAACUUCUUUAAUAAUAAUUAAGAAUCUACGUUAACACUUGACUAAUAGUAUAUGAGUUCCCUCUGUUCUUUUUUCCAUCAUAAAGUUUAAUUUUUCUUUGUUGUUUCUAAAUUAAAACUUGUAUUCUUUUAAUUCCAAUCUUUUAACCUUUUAGGUGAACCAAGAAAAGAAAAAAUGUUGGAUGCAUAAAAGAAUAACAAGUUUUAUUCCCAAUGGUAAGAGUGACAAUUUGUUAGGGUUGGUUUUUUUUUUCCAUAAAUAUUUUUCAGAAUGUAGAAAAUUAUUUUUCUUGUUAAUUUUGCUUAUGUUGUGGGAAUUUUCUGAUAUAACAAGAGUCUACAAUCAGGCAGACGAAAACUCAAAUCGAAAUGAUCAGGAAGUAGAGAUAUGCAAUGUAGAAAUAUUUGAAGAAUGAUAUAACUGGCGUCUUAAAAUAUGGAUUGGAUGUCAACCCCUGCCACAGGGUAAUUUUCUUUUGUUGGAAUUGAUCCAUCUAUAUAUUCUGUUAUUCUAUCACUUAGUUUUAUUUUAUAUGGCCUCUUUCUUUAUACUGAUUUGUUGUGAGUUUUAGUUUUAUUUUAUAUGGCCUGUUUCUUUAUACUGAUUUGUUUGAGUUUCAACCUCUUACGUGUUCUCCUAUUCUUUGGUGGUUAAUUCCAUUAGUUUUUUUGUAUGUGCAUGUUAGUUCGUGCACAUAUCUUUUCUUCUACUUGAUUUUCCUAAAACCAAAUACACGCUAUCACUAAGAAUAAUGGUCUAUUGAGUUCUCUUCCUCUCAAUGCAACUGCAUUGCUUUGGCUAAUUUAUAUGAGCUUAAGGAAAAAGAAAAUGUAGAGUGAAUUUUUUAAAAAGAAAAUGUAGAGUGAUUUUUUUUUCUUUCUUUCUUUUCGGUGAUUACUAAGAAAGGCUAAUGAUCUAAAUUUAUGCAUUCUCUAAGUUGGUCUUUUUCAUAAGCACCAUGCCAAGUCAAAAAGGGCCACAUAAAAUAGGAUAGAUGGAGUAUAAUUUUUUUUUAAAUGUACUUCCUAUCAUAAAUAGUUAUUUUUGUAAUGAAAAAAUUAACAUAAAAUGUAUUCUUGAUAAAAAUAUUAGCCCCCCCCCCCUCCCCCUAAAAUUGAGGGCCCAAGGCAUGUGCUUACUUUUUAUAGCAUAGAGUUUACCAUGUGUUGCAAUUCUCAAGCCUUAAUUAGCUCUUGAAGAAGGUUAGCAACCACAUAUAUCUUCCUUCUCAGAAAUAUUUAUGCACAAAUAUACUUAUAUACGUGCAAGAUGUUUUAACAGUAAAUAUUGAAAUAUAGCGCAAGACUCUUCUCAUAUGAGCCAGACAUGUUUCAAUAUUCUAUGUGCUAAGAGGAUUCUUCCAUGAUUGUGAUUUUGAAUUUUGCAAUGUGAAUGACAGGAAUACUUUCUUGAAUCUAUUUCCUUAGGGCAUUGAGUGAAGGUUGUUCCUUUCAAAUUCACAUAUAACUUGGUAUAUGUUAAUUCUUUGUGGUUAUCUUCAGUAUUUUAUUUUAAAUUGACAUAUAACUUGUAAUAUGCUGGUUCUUUGUGAUUGUCUUCACUAUUUUAUUUUUACUUUUGCUUUAAGUGCUACUAUUUUUAUGAACAGUUGUUAUUUCGGAACUUUUAUUCCUUUCCUUGAGAUAUUAAAGCUGGAGUAUAUAGUUCGUGCUGAGUGAAGGAAAUUUUGCAUCUUAUCAAGACAAUUGCAAACACUCGAGGCAUCAAUGGAUUUAUGAAACGGAAUUUUAUUACUCUACAUGCAGCUCCAUUUAAGGAUACCAACUUCUAUUCUUUUGAAAAAUACAGAGAGCAUCUACUCAAAUUUACUACUAAUGAUUCAAGGCAUCACUAGAUUUUGUAAAAUGAAUUUUGUCAUAUUCUAUGAUUAGCUCUAUGUAAGUCUAUCCACUUCUAUUUUCUUAUGAUAAAUAUUGAAAAGUAUUUAGAAGAUAGUUGUCUGCAAUGUAAAGUUAUUUGUGGAAAGGGAGAAAUUAGUUGUAUUAUUGCACUUUGAAGUUCAUUUGUAUAACUUAUGCAAUGAUCUAUUAGCUUUUACAAUAUAUACUCUUAUCCGAGUAACUAUGCAAAGUACAUACCACUUGAAAAUGCUAAAUGUUGGGCCCGUGUAAGCACGGGCUAUAUCCAUCUAGUCUAUCUAUUAUAUAGAAACGUGAUGAGAGGACGACCACUGGC